ACUCAAAUGAAUUGACGGGGGCCCGCACAAGCGGUGGAGUAUGUGGUUUAAUUCGACGCAACGCGAAAAACCUUACCUGGGCUUGAACUGCUAAUGGUAGAAGCCGGAAACGGUAACGACCCGCAAGGGAGUUAGCAGAGGUGCUGCAUGGCUGUCGUCAGCUCGUGUCGUGAGAUGUUGGGUUAAGUCCCGCAACGAGCGCAACCCUUAUCCCAUGUUACCUAUAGCAAUAUAGGGUCUCUGAGGAAACUGCCAUUGAUAAAAUGGAGGAAGGUGGGGACGACGUCAAGUCAUCAUGGCCUUUAUGUCCAGGGCUACACACGUACUACAAUGGUCGGUACAGAGGGCAGCGAGACCGCAAGGUGGAGCAAAUCCCUAAAAGCCGGCCUCAGUUCAGAUUGUGGGCUGCAAUUCGCCCACAUGAAGUAGGAAUCGCUAGUAAUCGCAGAUCAGAACGCUGCGGUGAAUACGUUCCCGGGCCUUGCACACACCGCCCGU
rnacentral:rRNA from 1 species